UACGUAGGGUGCAAGCGUUAAUCGGAAUUACUGGGCGUAAAGCGUGCGCAGGCGGUUUUGUAAGCCAGGUGUGAAAUCCCCGGGCUCAACCUGGGAAUGGCAUUUGGGACUGCAAGGCUGGAGUGCGGCAGAGGAGACUGGAAUUCCUGGUGUAGCAGUGAAAUGCGUAGAUAUCAGGAGGAACACCGAUGGCGAAGGCAGGUCUCUGGGACGUUACUGACGCUGAGACGCGAAAGCGUGGGGAGCGAACAGG
rnacentral:rRNA from 1 species